UAGACGUAUAAGUCCAUUUCGACAAUCGCGAUUAUUUUUAAGUUUUAAGGCGCAAAGAAAGGAUUUAUACCUUGUAACCACCAGAUAUAUUCUAAUUGGCAUAGAUAAAAUAUGUUUCUUAUUUAUACUUAAAUUUACUAUGCCAAAUAAGGUGCGUGGCUUUAAGAUAAAUUUUAAACGAAAACUAUAGCUCUAUUUUAAUUAAGCGCCGAGCGAAAGUCACCUGCUCUUCUCUUGACUUCAAAACAAUGUUUGGAUAGUGUUAUCUGAAAUCGACAUGUUGUAGGCAACCAAAUAGAAGCUUCCUCUUUCGAUUUAGCAGCACGCAGUAUGCAGGACAUUCAAACGUGAACAAGAAGAUGUUUCUUUUAAUUUAAAAACGGCAAAGAAGAAAAGAAGAAUGUCCAACCUCAAGGAACAUUUUCUUCUUGUGGCUGCCAUUGACUUUGGAACAUCUUAUUCGGGGUAUGGCUAUUCAACAAAGGAAGAUUUUGAGUUAAACCCUCUGAAGAUAUAUAGCAACACAUGGAUAGAAGGAAAUUUAAUGUCUUCGAAAACAUCAACAUGUGUGUUGUUUGACAAAGACAAAAACUUUCAAAAGUUUGGAUUUGAUGCUGAAGACCAAUAUGGCCUAUUGGCUGCUACGGACGAGCAUACAGAAUAUUAUUUCUUUAGGAAUUUCAAAAUGGAACUUUUUAAUCAAAUGAGUCACAGUUGGGAGUAUUGAGACAGGACCUUACCAAAUCCCUUAAGUCAGCUUUUGGUGAUGGAACAAACCAGAAUUUGAGAAUACAGUGCGUGUCUUUUAUUUUAUUAUGUGUAUGUUAACUUAAAAUGUUUAAGCUUUGUUUUUUACCGGCGUCCACUGCAACCUUACAGCUGUACUGUAAAUUUCUUAGCAGAUCAUUUAAGUCAAUUGAUAGUACAAAGAUUUAUGUCAGUGGAUAGAAAACAAUGCAUUUGUAUGCAGGUUAUAAUAUAGAUCACAUUAAUGGUUAUUUACUUAAUUUAUCAGUUAGGGGUUUAUCUAGAUUAAAUCCUUGGACCGUGAAACGUGUUGAACCUAUGACGCUAAAGGUUUUAUGACAUAUAUUUGUCAUUUUAGAUUUUUCCAACCCGGAAAAUAUUGUUUAUUGGUGUUGAUAUCUAUUCGCAUUUUUCUCAUGUGCCAGAAAGUAUAAUCUAGUUCCAACUUCAUCAUCUGAUAUUGAAUCGGGGAAAUAUUGAAGCACAGAGAGUAUUCAGUGUCAUGAAAAUUACAUUUUAGUACAUUUAGCACUGGUCAAAGGCUAUUCAGUUUGGUGAAAGGGAGAUUAUUACUCAUUUACGGAGAUUAGAAGAUAAAAGGUUAUGUCCCGUGUCAGCGUAUGAGCCCUUAUUGGCUUUAAAGUUACACCAUUACAGACAUGUAUUUUUCACUUUACCUAACGGCUCGGUCAUUUCAUAAUAUUUGUUUCAAAAAAAAUUAAGAGAAUGUAUUACUGAAAUAGGUUUAGAUGCCGGUAAGUUUUCAACACACUCUUUUAGACGGAGUUUUACAACAUUAGCACAUAGAAUGGAUAUUCCUCAUUCACUUGUUUUUAAUGUUAUUACAAGGGUGGUAUUUAAUAUCAUAUCGGAUUCCAUCGCCAAGGAUGUUGGUGGAAUAUGGCACGCAAAUAUCAUUCCAUUCCCGGGUAUCAACAUAUCUCGUUUAUCAGCCAGAAUAGAGGAGUCACCUUCACUUGUGAGUAAGCCGUUCACACUCAUUCAUGUUGGUACGAACGAUAUAACCACGAGAAACCAGAGUGAAUCAUACUCAGUUGAUGAAAUCAUUAGUUUGUACAGCAACUUGAUAACUUUAAUCAGACGUAUUUAUCCUAACACACAUAUUGUAUUUUCUUCCAUUUUACCACGUCCUUGUGACUAUAGGAUUACUAAAGAUAAAGUUAAACAGGUUAAUGCCCUCUUGGAAAACAAAUGUAAAGAGAGACAAUGUCAGUUCUUACAUAGUUACAGGUCUUUUUUCAAAUUCGGAAGACCUGAUCGUUCAGUUUUCGCGGUCCGAGAUGGAGGAUUACAUAUCAAUUUAGAGGGUACUCGUUUGUUAAGAAAUUUUUUAAUUAGGGCUGUCUCACUUUUGUAAAAAGGUAGAAAUUAAUAUGUGAAAUUGCCAACACGUAGCACAAAAAGUUAUCAUUCUUAUACUACUUAUUUUAUGUUAGGAUUGAGUUACAAUAGGAUUUAUUUACAAAGUGCGAGUGGUUUAUAUAGUGAUAUUGCUAUUUGGAUGCAUUACAUCACUUUUAUUUAUAAUAACUGCGUUAUUAUAAAAGUCUGUUUAAAGGUUUGGAUUUCGGUGGACGUAUUGAUGCCAAAUUUUAAGGUUGUUUGUUCCCUAGCGUCUUGAAGGGAGUAAAGGUUAUUGCUUCAGAUCUUCGCACUUGUGAUUACAGCAUCAUUAAGCCAUUCUGGUGAUUUCAUCCUUGAGAAGAAGGCAUCAUUACUAUUUCAAAGGUUAAAUACUUGUGGUGAUGUUAUAUACUGACGACACUCUGGUCUUUUUAAGUCCUUUGACUUUUGGUAUCACUACGUUUAUUGAUGUUCAACUCUCAAUUGUUAUGUGGAAUACUUUGCAUUGUGACAUACAUGAUUUAAUAUAUAUUGCAGUUUUCAAGUGAUGUACAACAGUUUUGUAUGUGAUAAUUUAUUUAUAAAUGUGUUUUGUUCGCAUUGUACGGUCAUUUAAUUAGCUUGCAUGUACUUUGUGUUUUAUUUUGCUUUUGUUUUGUUUGGAGGUUACUGGCGGAAUUGAGUUAUUCAAGCUAUUGGGCUUAAUUAUUAAUUUGAUCAAAUUGAUUCCAUGUGAAAUUAUGGUCAUUUGCAUGGACUGUCUUGUAUAUUUGUGAUUGCAAGUUCUAUUGACCUUUGAUUAUAAUGAUCGUGUCAGACAUUCAGACCUAAUACAUAUUCUCUUUUAUGUAGUUUAUGUUCAUGGUUUUAUUUGAGUCUCGAGGAUAUGAGAUAAUUUUAAGCAUUUUCUCUAAAAAAUAUAUUGAUUAUUGAUUACAGCCGCGAGUUAGUCCCAUCAUGCUUGACCACUCAUGUAUUAAUGUAUUCAUACGCUAGUUUAUAAACAGCUGAUUCGCGCGUUUUUGGUCUUAGUAUUGUUUUACACGAUCGAUCUAUUAUUGAUCAGAAAAUUUUGCCACACCCACCCACCCCUUUUUGAUGUGUGUUUGUAUAUUUCUGCUUUAUAUGUUUUAUAUGUUAAUUAGUAGGUAUAGUUUGCUAAAUGUUUUGUUUAUUAUGUAUAUUGGUAUGUGUAUAGUUGUACAUGCAUAAUUGGUGUGGAUAAUGAUAGCCGUUAUUGUUACCUCACGUCCUGUUUUAGGUUGUGUAAGCAGGAGUUGAUCGGCGGAAUUGAGUUAUUUAAGCUACUGUGCUUAAUUAUUUAUUUGAUUCCAUUUGAAAUUAUGGUCAUUUGUAUGGACAGUCUUGUAUAUUUGUGAUUGCAAGUUCUAUUGACCUUUGAUUAUAAUUAUAUUGUCACACAUUCGGACCGAAUAAAUAAUCUCUUUAAUGUA